rnacentral:rRNA from 1 species
AUACGGAGGGGACUAGCGUUGUUCGGAAUUACUGGGCGUAAAGCGUACGUAGGCGGAUCAGAAAGUAUGGGGUGAAAUCCCAGGGCUCAACCCUGGAACUGCCUCAUAAACUCCUGGUCUUGAGUUCGAGAGAGGUGAGUGGAAUUCCGAGUGUAGAGGUGAAAUUCGUAGAUAUUCGGAGGAACACCAGUGGCGAAGGCGGCUCACUGGCUCGAUACUGACGCUGAGGUACGAAAGUGUGGGGAGCAAACAGGAUUAGAAACCCUUGCAGUCC